rnacentral:tRNA from 1 species
GCAGCGGUAACUCAGCGGUAGAGUGUGAGAUUGCAAUGUGCAAUAUAUCUUGAAGUCCCGUGUUCGAUCCACGGUCGCUGCU